rnacentral:pre_miRNA from 1 species
UCUUAUAGACCAGCAAAGAAAGUGGUUUCUUGAGAUGGAAUCUAUUCCUGGUAAAGGUGCUGUGAA